rnacentral:miRNA from 1 species
UCCAACGAUGGGUGACCACAA